UGGGGAAUCUUGCACAAUGGGGGAAACCCUGAUGCAGCGACGCCGCGUGAGCGAUGAAGGUUUUCGAAUCGUAAAGCUCUGUCCUAUGGGAAGAUAAUGACGGUACCAUAGGAGGAAGCCCCGGCUAACUACGUGCCAGCAGCCGCUGUAAUACGUAGGGGGCGAGCGUUGUCCGGAAUUACUGGGCGUAAAGGGUUCGCAGGCGGCAUGACAAGUCCGAUGUAAAAGGCGAAAGCUCAACUUUCGUAAGCAUCGGAAACUGUCAAGAUUGAGUGAAGGAGAGGCAAGUGGAAUUCCUAGUGUAGCGGUGGAAUACGUAGAUAUUAGGAGGAGUACCGGUGGCGAAGGCGACAUGCUGGACUUCAACUGACGCUGAGGAACGAAAGCGUGGGUAGCAAACAGG
rnacentral:rRNA from 1 species